rnacentral:rRNA from 1 species
UACGUAGGGUGCAAGCGUUGUCCGGAAUUAUUGGGCGUAAAGAGCUUGUAGGCGGUUUGUCGCGUCUGCUGUGAAAUUUCGGGGCUCAACCCCGAACUUGCAAUGGUGAUCGGGCAGACUAGAGUGUGGUAGGGGGAGACUGGAAUUCCUGGUGUAGCGGUGAAAUGCGCAGAUAUCAGGAGGAACACCGAUGGCGAAGGCAGGUCUCUGGGCCACUACUGACGCUGAGAAGCGAAAGCAUGGGGAGCGAACAGG